rnacentral:lncRNA from 1 species
GACACCUCCAGGUCUGUAGCUCAGUAACCACUAAAGAGCUUGGCUAUAAUCCUUUUCCCUGAAAGGCCUUGCCGGGAAGUGCCGAACAUCACCUGAAGGCAGCAGGAGGUAGAAGAGUGUGUGGAAAGGAGUUCUGUAUGCAGCUGAAGGGUAACACCCCUUGGGAGCUUUUGCCUUGUCUGGCUGACGCCUUGGCAAUCGCAAGUGACAGUGAUGGAGAGCCACCUCCUCUGGAAUGCAUCAUGGAACAGGUCUGGGAGAACAGAGGGUGCAGAUGAAGGGCCCUCAACAAUGCUUCUCUUUGCAUUGUGGGGUUUCCCCUUCAAUGGAUUGCUAAAGAUUCAACUUCCCUGUCUCUUUGUGUGCCCGCUAGAAAGGGAAAAGCCAGGCAUUUGUAGUCCUCCUGCCACAGAUGACCAGAAUGACCUCACCCAGGACAAACGGCGACAGAUUUAGGAAUUCAAGCCAGAUUUUCUGACUCCCAGGCACCUGCUCUCUCCUUUCGAGUGUUCGACUCCACUCUCAGUCACUCGUCACUCCUCCCAGAAGGACAAAUGUGCAGCUUCUAUGUCUUGGAUUUCAAAUAAAAGACGAGGAACUUGGUGAAAUGAGGUGGUCUUUGCCUUCCGCGUCACUCUCUGCUCCUCCUGGCAAGAGGCCCCAUUUUUCUUGCCACUGAGGUUAAGUG